AUUUUUCAUCACACUUUCUGCUUUAAGCAUCAAUUAUAGUCAUUCCAAUAUGACCUGCUUGUGCAUUUAUGCAAUUUUUCUUCACAUUUUCUGCUUUAUCCGUCAAUUUUUGUCAUUCUAAUAUGACCUUGCUCUGUAGUGUGAACAUCACAGAGACCUGUGCUAAUAGCAUUAGCGUUCUGAUGAUUUUCCCGUGAUUCCUUGCAGUGUCUGCCGCCAUUUUGUUGCCUUCCGCCAUUUUGCUGCCGCUGCUCCGGAGGCCUUCGCUGUACCACACAGACUGUUCAGAAAGAGCGACUGACGACCGUUUAAGAGGAGCUAACCGCGAUCUUUCUGUCCACGACCGAGGCUGGGCUUCGUUGUCAAGUGGGUGAGAAGAAAACAAAGGUGUCGCGCCAGCCAGCCAGCCGACAAUGCUAACGGACGUCAUGGGAAAGCAGGAUUAGAGAUCAGAGGAGAGGCCUAUGCUGAUAGCAUUAGCGGUCACAUGAUCUUCCCCAAGAUGUUUUGCGGUUACGAGAAACCAUCGAGUUCCAUGUUGCUGCGAUGGCCGAGGAGAGGCACCUGUGGGUUUCCCUGCCUGGGAGACAAAUGGACCGGGUGCAG
ensembl:lncRNA